CUUUGAUUAAUAUGUAAUAAAACAAGAUUUCAAUAAUGCAAUUUUUAACUGCCCUCCGAAACAACAAUGUUCCACCAAAUAUAGCUCUGUAGCUUUCAAUCGUUCAUACAGAUAGCUUGUUGGGGAUCGGGUUGCAUCCUCUUCAGAAAUUUUUUAAAAUCUAGACUCUCUAAACUGGCAUUUUCGCAUUAAAAUCAUCGUAUAUACAAUACGUUCAACUUGCAUCCUGUAGAUGGGCCUUUGAAGCUUUAAUAGUUUAGAGCUAUGUUAUCAAAAAAUGCACACAGACUCAACUAUCCAAAAAUACUUUUUCUACCAUGCAUAUUAGAUAUGUAUAAAUAACUUAUAAACUUGUACAUAAUUAUCUUAAGCCCAACAACUUUGGGGGGCAACAAUUUUGCCAGGGAACACCACUGGCUAUUGUAUGUCAGAGGCUCCAAAGGCGGUAGAAUCCCUGUGAUGUUAUCCACUGUUCACCCCGUGUUCUUUUAAGCAAAUGUGCCUGCUCAAAAAUGCAAAAUCUUGCAAGCCUGUGGACACAAUACUGAAGUGAAGAGCAUCAGUAUAGUUACAUGUAAAAAUUUUUUUUUGAGCGCUCUCUUUUGCAUGAUAUUUUUUUCUCGAUUGUAUGCU
rnacentral:lncRNA from 1 species